UACAGAGGGGGCAAGCGUUAUUCGGAAUUAUUGGGCGUAAAGGGCGCGUAGGCGGCUUUUCAAGUGACGGGUGAAAUCCCUCGGCUUAACCGAGGAACUGCCUGUCAGACUGGAAGGCUUGAGACCGGGAGAGGUGAGUGGAAUUCCCAGUGUAGCGGUGAAAUGCGUAGAUAUUGGGAGGAACACCAGUGGCGAAGGCGGCUCACUGGACCGGAACUGACGCUGAGGCGCGAAAGCGUGGGGAGCAAACGGG
rnacentral:rRNA from 1 species